GAUCUGCUCCAUCAGGAAUUCAUCUCGUGAGCCCAGGACAGGGUGUUCCUGAACCUGGAGAGGUCCACUUCAGCUGUGAUGAAUCCUAAAUGGUUCAACCAAGAACUGGUCAAAAACAGCACUUCUUAAGAGCAGAAUUUGCAAUGAGCUUUUCAAGUGGGUUAGCCCAAGCAGCUGUUGAGUUUAGAGCAGACUCAAGCAAGGAACAAGAAGACAAAACAUGACUGGCAGACCUUGGAAGAAACUCCUGAGAUGUAAACUUACCUUAUGUUCAGAUUCUUUUUCUAUACAAGCUUAUGCAAGGUUGCUGUUCUGUAAGCUGUCUCUCUCAUUUGUAAAGAACAAUACCUGCCUGCCUCAGAUUACUUAUACUGAGGAUUUGUUACAAACACUGUUGCAGCAAUACUAAAAAAUUUGUAAUUUUCUUAAAGAAAGAAGAAACUUCUGGUGUGCAGAGGGAGGAAACAACACAUGCUGGACAAAUCACUUAGUUAGAAGAGCUGAUAAACUUCCGGUCUUUCUGAUGGUCUGUUUUCACCAAUCUUGCAUUUAUUUCUUUUUCCAAAAGAUAGAACUUUUAAGAAUAAAAUGAGGAAUUAUAAUUCUUGAAGAAGCUGGUUAGCUGUACAACAAAUAAUGGACACUGUGGAGAUUUUAACAUGUGGCUGGCUUACAUUCACAUUGUAGAAAUCUUGCUUUGAGUCAAAGGUUGGGUUAAAGAACCUGAGCAAAUUCUAAUAAGGGAAACUGACCACCAAUUAUAGUGGAAAAGGAGAACAUUUUCAUUAAUUUCAUUAAUUUCAUUUUCAUUCAUUGUCUCUAACAAGAAAAGAAUGCUGUCAAGGAGGAAUUUGCUUUGUGGAAAUUAUUUGGCGUCUAAUCGAGAAACAAUAAAACAACUUAGGGAGUCUAUCAGAUGCUAUUCUUUGGCAUAGGUUCCAAUUACUGUCUAGACUUAUAUUUUUGUUCCUAGAUGGAAAGUACCAGGUGUAACUCAAGUUGUUUGGGGAUUUUUUUUUUACUUUGCAUUUGCUACAAAUAUUGCUGCAUAGUCUGGAAAAAGUCUCUUCACAUUCUUUGAAUAGUGACUUGAGCUGGUCAAAUUAGAUGCUUGAAAUGUUCUUGUGUAACCACUCAUAGAAAAUUGUCAAAGCAUUUUAAUGAAAGUUUGAAUGAGAUUCAUUAAGUGUAUUUAAGAAUUUUGGAAUGAUACUACUGCCUGCCAAAUUUUUGUGGUCACCUAGAUACUAGAUGGUAAAGACUCUUCUUACGUGCAGUGCAGCCAUAAAAAAAGUGAUUCUAUGAUAGUUUUCUAUGCACAUCUGUUAAAUUCUGCUUUAUUUUCAAGCGGAAUAUAUGAUGAUAACAUUGAAAGCAUUUUUAAAAUAAUCAAAUGAUUUGUUUCCAAAAAAUUCAAAUGAUAUUUUAAAGUUAUUGGAUACGUUAUGCAUACGUAACAUCCAAGUAACACUCCUGAAACAAAUGUCUAACUUUUAAAAGGAUAGACUGAAGAAUCCACUGGGCUUACAUAUGAUCUGGUCUAUAGUGUCUUUAUAUGUAAUAAAAACAAUUAAAAUUAGCUCUUGGUUUUGAGCAAACAAAUUCAGUGCUUCAUAUUUGCAUUCACAGUAAGCCAUUGAUUGUUUUUCUUGCUAUCAUUGCUGCUUUCUUCCCUUCUUCCAUGUAAACUGAAAAUAAUGU